AUUUUUGUGGAACAAAGAAUACUGCUGGAUCCCAGUGUUUCAUCUAUUUCUUAUUUGCUGGAUGUCACCAUGGUCAUUGUUCAUGAGAUAUGUCACCAGUGGUUUGGUGACCUUGUGACGCCUGUGUGGUGGGAAGACGUGUGGCUGAAGGAAGGGUUUGCUCACUACUUUGAAUUUGUUGGUACAGACUACCUCUAUCCUGGCUGGAACAUGGUAAG
rnacentral:lncRNA from 1 species